CAGUAGCCACGGGAAUACGAAGGGUGCAAGCGUUAAUCGGAAUUACUGGGCGUAAAGCGUGCGUAGGCGGUGAGUUAAGUCUGCUGUGAAAUCCCCGGGCUCAACCUGGGAAUGGCAGUGGAUACUGGCAAGCUAGAGUGUGUCAGAGGAUGGUGGAAUUCCCGGUGUAGCGGUGAAAUGCGUAGAGAUCGGGAGGAACAUCAGUGGCGAAGGCGGCCAUCUGGGACAACACUGACGCUGAGGCACGAAAGCGUGGGGAGCAAACAGGAUUAGAUACCCCGGUAGUCCCUGUCUCUUAUAC
rnacentral:rRNA from 1 species